CGAGCAUCGCUGGAAAGAACCAUAACUCAACGGAGAAGACGACCGAAGUCCGACGGAACUCACGACAUCCUUUACUGUGAUAACCAUUACAUUCGUUCUCUUGGAUUAUUCUCCAUUUCUUACUCGUACGUUCUUACAAGAAAGCGCAACGCAAUCAAUGAUGAGGAUUAAGAGUUGAAGAAUUGAUUAGGAUGGCUUAGAAACCCACAUUACAAUAAACUAUGUUUGAUGUUUGUUAUUUCCCUUUUAUGACAUUUUGUAUGAAACUUAGCAAUUUUAAUAAAUGAAAUUAAUUAUAUUGUCA